GCUGGUGUAGCUCAGUUGGUAGAGCAACUGCCUUGUAAGCAGUAGGUCGGCGGUUCAAAUCCGUUCACCAGCU
rnacentral:tRNA from 2 species